rnacentral:rRNA from 1 species
AUUGAACGCUGGCGGCAGGCCUAACACAUGCAAGUCGAACGAGUGGCGGACGGGUGAGUAAUGUCUGGGAAACUGCCCGAUGGAGGGGGAUAACUACUGGAAACGGUAGCUAAUACCGCAUACCAUCGGAUGUGCCCAGAUGGGAUUAGCUAGUAGGUGGGGUAACGGCUCACCUAGGCGACGGUCCCUAGCUGGUCUGAGAGGAUGACCCGCCAACCUGGAACGGAGAAACGGGCCAGACCCCGACGGGGGGCAGGAGUGGGGAAAAUUGCACAAUGGGCGCAAACUGGAUGCAGCCAUGCCUGGUGUAUGAAGAAGGCCUUCGGGUUGGAAAGUACUUUCAGCGAGAAGGCGUGACGCGCAGAAGAAGCCCCGGCUAACUCCGGGCCAGCAGCCGGGGUAAUUC